CCGAAACCGGGUGAUCUAUCCAUGUCCAGGUUGAAGCUGCCGUAAGAGGCAGUGGAGGACCGAACCCACAUCCGUUGAAAAGGGUGGGGAUGAGGUGUGGAUAGGGGAGAAAUUCCAAUCGAACCCGGAGAUAGCUGGUUCUCCUCGAAAUAGCUUUAGGGCUAGCCUUGGUAGAGAUUUGCGGAGGUAGAGCACUGAAUUUCCUAGGGGGCGUCAAAGCCUACCGAAGAAUAUCAAACUCCGAAUGCCGUGUAAUUGCUUACCAGGAGUCAGA
rnacentral:rRNA from 12 species